rnacentral:rRNA from 1 species
UACGUAGGUGGCAAGCGUUGUCCGGAUUUACUGGGCGUAAAGGGCGCGUAGGCGGUACUUCAAGUCAGGCGUGAAAGCCCCGGGCUCAACCUGGGAACUGCAUCCGAUACGGCGGGACUGGAGUGUGGGAGAGGUUGGUGGAAUUCCGAGUGUAGAGGUGAAAUUCGUAGAUAUUCGGAGGAACACCAGUGGCGAAGGCGGCUCACUGGUCCGGCACUGACGCUGAGGUGCGAAAGCGUGGGGAGCGAACAGG